rnacentral:misc_RNA from 1 species
GAUGAAGAACGUAGCGAAAUGCGAUACUUGGUGUGAAUUGCAGAAUCCCGUGAACCAUCGAGUCUUUGAACGCAAGUUGCGCCCGAGGCCAUUAGGCCGAGGGCACGCCUGCCUGGGCGUCACACGUCGUUGCCCCCCCAUCUACUCCUUCGGGAUUGCGGGGGGCGGAUGAUGGCCUCUCGUGCGCCUCGUCGCGCGGUUGGCCUAAAUGCCAAGUCCUCGGCGACGCACGCCACGACAAUCGGUGGUUGCGAAACCUCGGUUGCCUGUCGUGUGCGGUCGUCGCGCAUCGAGGGCUCGAAAAAAUUGCCGGGCUUCGGCUCGACUUUCAACGCGACCCCAGGUCAGGCGGGGUUACCCGCUGAAUUUAAGCAUAUCAAUAAGCGGAGGA